UACAUCGGCCUGUUACACAUCGGACUCACGAGCCGUAUUGAAUAUUAAACCAAUAAACAGGAGAGGAGGAGCGGUUACAGAUGGUCGAGGACACUUGGCAACGCCGCCAAUAGACGGAGCCAGAGCCAGAGCCAGUUCAAGCCUCGUUCACAGUGGCGCACCGCGCGAAGGGGAAGGAAGCUGUGUCGACAGCGCCGCUACGCUCUCCGAGCACGCCAGAUGAGGAGUGGUUUAAGACAGAGAGGGUAAAGGAUUGCUGGGAGAAGAGCGAGGGUGCCCACGACCUGGAGGGGUGCAAGAACUGGAAGCGGAUAAACGAAGGGGCCAACACAAGUGCCGAGAGUACUACGUGCGUCUCAGCUUGAUGAUGAAGCGACAUAUGGAGGCUGAGUCAGUUUUCAGCUACCUGGAAGACAGGGGAGGGGGAAAGAACGCCGGAAGCGCCACCAUGGCGUCGGCUGGGAUUUGAAAAGAUAUAGGGGUAAUGAUUUGAAAAUUGUUAGGGAAGCUCUUGGCAUGCAGAAAAGUCAGAAUCAAAAAACGUAUCUAGUACUUUGACCGGCUGUAGGAUAGUAUACGUUCCUAUUGGAAAUGUAGCGUUCAUAGAUUUAUCUGUAGAUACGAGGAUACUCAGGCAUCCAUUCCUGAUAACUCUACAGUGAUCAAGAUUUCAUUUAACUGACACAAACUUCAAUGAUUUACUUUAUUCAAUCAGUCACUUUAGUCACUUUGAAUUUUUCAGUAACCAGUGUGAGUCGGUAUUCGAUCGUAAUAUGUAUAACGAUGAAGAAUGCAGUAUGCAGACUUCCCCUCGUUCAAAGACCGAGACAUAACGUGCUGCGACCUAACGGCGAAUACCCGAAGUUUCGGGUUGCGUACAAUGUCUGGCGCGAGAGAACGCGUUUCGAAAGGCCGGAAGGACGCGCGCGUUCAACCCUGCCAUAAUCUUUACGGCAACUUAUCGCAAAGAGCAGUCGUUAAAGUGCGUUCUCCCGGUCUCGAACAAAUAAUUUCCCUGUAAUUAACCGCUACAGCGAGUGUACACCUCGAGCCGGAGAGAGUACCCGCGUAUUUACAUCCGACUAGCAUCGCGCUUGAAAUAGUGAACAGACAUAAUGCAUUCGUCUAAUUGAAUAACAAUAAUUCACGUAACCGUUCAGCUGAACGUAUCUAUUUUUAAGCGAUCGCAAGAAAAUAAUGGUAAAAGAAAUCAGAGCACCCACCAGGAUCGUACAAGGAUCGUUAUUUCGAUGACGAAAAACGGUUUCUCGGACAAAGGAUAUCCCCUAAAACCCCUCGCCCUUCUCGACUAGCUACUCUCGAUGUCGUGUGUACUCGGGAACGUUGCCGGCUAGCUGUAUAACCUAUGAUCCCCACUACAGGACCUGUGUAUACACACGUAUCCUUGCGUAUGCACGCGAGCAACGGCGGCAGCGGCAGGUAACCGCCUUAAGGAGUUUGUUUAAUUCCUUGUCCUUGCAAGCCACCCUGUAUUGUACACAAGCAAGCCCAGCGAGCGGAGCCGAGUCGAGAGAGGAGAGCCACCAAGAACUGUCGCUCGGGAGUUGAAAUAGUGGGGACGCGGACAGAGAGAAGGACGGGCGACGUUUCGAGUGAAGCAGACGACAGGAAAAAGAGAGCGUCUCUCUGUGGAAAAGAGGCGGCAAAGAAAUCGAGCGAACAAUGAACAAGGACAGUAGGACAAGAGGGCGAAAAGUAGACACCGGGAGUGGGAACGACAGGCAAGAAACGAGAAAGAACGAGAAACAGAAGAGAGGAGCAGUCGCGACGGAGGGGAUGCGUUCGCGCGCUCAUCGGCCGUCGUGGUGGGGACGAGUCGAGUAUAAGGGUGAGAGAGGCAGGCCGCCGAUGGAAGGGAGCGGCGGAGGUAAGAAGUGGUGGGUGACGCGGCUCGCGCGCACAGAACCAGAGAGGAGAAGAGGUUAAAGAGGGGAAUCAGGCGCGACGUCGACGAGAAGGUCACGCACCGUAGUCGCCACACUAUUUAAAUAAUGUAUUAUUUCUAUCUGGUCGGCUAUGUGUACUUGCGCAGCGGAGCCCGGAGAAAGGGAGAAAGAGAGAUAGGGCGGUGCGAAGAAACGAAGCGUGGGACGAACGCCGGCGAGGUAGGUGGUUAGGGGCAGGGUGAGAGGAUGCGUCUCCGAGAGAUCCACAGACUUGAAUUCCAUUGCCCUUCCUCGCGCGGGUCACGCCGCUCCGGGGGAAAGUGUGAGAUGAAAUGAGCAGAAACAAGCAGGAAAGACGGCGCGACGUUUACGAAACAACAAUAAGACACCGAAAGUCCUGUUAUUGGGCAAAUUGCGUUAAAGGAUCCCGAUUCUCAACUCCACAGCACGAUGAAAUUUCUGCAGAAUUAUUUUAUGGAAUUCUCAUCAGACGAUUUAAUGCGCAUCGUUAAAAUAAUAUCUCAAUUUCGGAGGGUUGUUUAUUUGAAAUCGGACGCAUAUCGGACGAUCGAGGAGGGGUUAUUAUAUUUAAUAACCGAUUCCGGUUUCAGUUCUCGAUGAAACGUUCUGAUUGUCGAAACGCUCGCAUUGAUGACUUUAUUUGCGCACUUCGAGACCUCGUUGCAUAUGUUCGUCAUUAGCUCAUCAGCGUCGGUCGUGAGUCAGUCCAACGAUACCCAACGAAGGGAUUCUUUCUCCGUGAUUCCGUGCCUCCCCUUCCCCUCCCCCGCCCCACCAUCACACCCUCCUCACAGCUCCUCGUUCAACUUAGAAAUCACUGUUGGAGCGUGCAUGCGGAAUACACGAUUUGCGAACGCGCACGCGUCCCUAUGCGUGUGCGCGCGCGACCGACCGACCGACCGAGCGAGCGAGCAAGCAAGCAAGUAAGCAUGCAUGCGCACCGCUUCUCUUCUAACAUAAAUGACCGUUGCUGGCCUGUUACUACCAGCAGUUUGUUGGCCAGAGGCUAGCGACGCUGCGCCGCGAAAGACUUUGUUCUGACAAGCGAGGACUGCGCCAUGGUGAACGUUUUCAUCCGCGCAGAUGUAUGCAUAUCCGUGCACCGGUCCGACCUCUGUGUGUGGUAGAAAAUGCAUGCUUCCAUGUAGGAACUACCGACUAACUGAUGCAAGGAUAGGUUAGGAUCACGAUAGCCUAACGAGCCACCCGAAGAAGAGUUCGCAGGUAUAUACAGCUACCGUAGAAAUAAUGUUGCGCGUUGUGUAAUUGCCGCGUAAUUUUCUAGACAAGACAAGGUAAUCCUUUGGCCAAUGACACCGACUGGCUGGUUUCCUUAAGCGGAUGGUUAUCUACGAAACUGAUUUCGAAGAGGAUUGUUGAAUGAUCAAACAUAGUUCAAACUUUAGUUCAGUCUAAUUCGAAUUAAAUUAACUUGUGUAUACCAAAUUUUGUCAUGCACAUGUUCGUCAUAAUAGUCGUUUACCGUGCCGCAAAUUAUUCCACGCUGUUGGAAUUUGAAUACUCAGAGUGCGACCGACAGUUAUUGUGAUUGUUGAUGGCUUCAAGGCUUUCCUUUUAAAGUAUAAAUUAUAAUUAGAAUGAAUCUGGUGUCAUCUUUUGACUAUAUUUUCUAAAAUAGAAUAUAAAAUUAUUGAAUUCUAACUGAAUUCUAAUUAUAGGCGCUAAUGGUCAAUUUUAGUAGUUCAGUUCAAACAUGUUGGCGACCUAAUGGCGACGUAAAUCGCCGAAUAAUAAUUAUAUUUAAAGCGAGGGUGCAUUUUAGUCCGACCGGCUUGUAAACAUCGAGUGGGACAGUAGGGUCGACAGCAUACGAAACUUUUCAGCAGUUCCGAGCCAAAGUUCACCUAAAUACUCUGACGACACGCUGCGUCCCGUUCCGGGUUACGAUCAAUCCAUCUCGACAAGGUCAUGAUUGGUCGUCACGAGCGUUGUUGUAUCGUGGACGGUUCGCACGAACGACAGUCGCGAUAGGAGAGAAAGUCAACGCUCUAAAUGUCCGAGAGUGAAAGAUCGGCCGUGAGAGUCGCGCGCGCUCCGUUCGCCAGAGAGGUUCCCCGGCUCUCGCGAGGCAAACGUUCGUAACAAAGUAGAAGCCAGCGGUUUACGGUCCACUGUUCUUUUUUCCGUCGUUUAUUGGCCCCGUUUCAAUUAAACCGUUCAGCACUCUCGGCGCGCGUCUUACUUAGACUCGACCGCACGGACCUAAACCGCGCGGUCUAUAAUCUCGCCGAUCUACGGCCAAUACGGUUCCGCCUGUUUUCAAUUACCCUACGUGCUCUGGCCCCGAAGUAAAACGGCGCGUGCACGCAUUCUCUAAAAACUUUCACGAGACGAUCUCGCUGCUCUGGCCGGGCAUCUUGCGAAUCCGAUUUUGCUUCCUCGAUCAUCGCUUCCCGAUCGUCUCGGAUCAAGACAUCGCCGGCCCGAUUGUCUCAACUUUAUCUAGAUAACUGAUCUCACCAUCUGUAAGCAGCGUUGUUAACAUUGAUUGCGAAGGGUGAUCAAUACCCAGUAGCGGCGUGCGGCUAUCACUCGUGCCAUAAGGGUUCUAGCCUCUCCCCCUUCCCUCCUGACUGUUUCUCCCCUUUGCUUCACCCCCGUAGAACCGAAAGGACGAGGAUAGAGGCACGAGCGAGAACGAUAGAGACAAAGAACCGACGCGGAUAGGGGGAAGCAAGAAAGAGACAGGGGUAGAUAGCACGGAAGAAAAGAGCGAAACGCACAGACGGCUGCCGUGAAAGGGGGAAGAGGAAGAGAAAGAGAGAGUAGCGCACGCCACACAACGCUACGCCACGCCACGCCACGCCAUGCCAUGCCAUGCCAUACCGCGCCACGCGACACGUGAGCCACCGCUAACAGUGGACAAUGAAAUUAUUUCGGCGUGUAUCGCAUGGUAUUGAUCCGUUCUCUCUUCGUCGCUCCCUCUUCGCAGCUAUCCCUCUUUCUUCGUUGGAACCAAGCCUCCGACUAAGCGAGCAAAACGGCUCGCAUCGCGUCUUACCGGCGUGGCGGCAAUGUGAACCCUCGAAGAACCGUCGCGUCGUCGCUUUUUACUCGCCCACUUUGCUCCACCUAUGUGACCGAAACGCCGCGCCGACCCGCCGACGACGUUUCUCAAGUGUUUCUCGCUUCGGCCACAGUUCGAUCAGACUGUAUAGUUGACCGAACCGUGCCACCGGACCGCGCUGCACCUACGCCGGCCCAUUGCAAGCUUGAAUUACUGGCCAGCCUGUUUCAUUGGCUUCGGCGGCAGCCGUGGCAUUCUUUCCGGGCAUUCGAAAUGGAACCCUGUGCGCACCAAACGCCACGCUCGGCGCAGGAACGUGCGCGCAGCUCGGGGCACCCUGCACGAUCCUUCAGGAGCAGAUUUGAACAAUUUUAUUUCGAAUAACGACUUUAAGGAUGUCUUGUCUGUUCGACAAGAUUCUGUAAUUCUUCUUAUAACGUUUAUAUAGAGGUUUUUAGGUCUUCCUUGAAUUUUUUUACAAGAAAAUAAACAAUUGUUUUGCAUUUGUUCUUUACAUAUAAUUUUACUAGUAUUUUAGGUAUAACGUAUAUUUUUUUAAGAGAAAAUAUUUAAAAUUCUCUGUGUUACAUCUUUUCUUUUAAAGUGUUUUUCUAGCUGAUAUGGUUCCAACUGUUCGGAAAAAAACAAGGUGGUUUUCAAAAAUACAUGUGUAGUUGGUCCGUAUUACAAUAAAAGAAUGGGAAAAUAACAAGAUUUAUUGAUCAUUGUGGUAGACAAGAUAGCGGGAAGUCUACUGAAAAAUGUGUACAAAUUGGAUAACUAAAUCUUGAGAUAUUGUGUCAGCCAUAUUAGAAAAUAUGGUUUUGAGAUAAACGCGUUUGAAGUUUCUCUUGCUAGUGAUAUAAAUUGUAUGUAUAUUGUAUACGUAUUUCAAACAUCUCUAACUUCAUUAUUUUUUUUUGGAUUUUUGAAAAAAUCAUUUUGUAGACAUGUUCUUAAAUGCAUAUACUCUAAUAAAAUGCAAUAAAAACUACAUUUUGUCAAACUUCUAGAUCAGAAUAUUCUCUUAAAGUCAAUUGUUAUUUCGAAGAUGAAUGAUUAAUAUACAGUUGUGUAUACAUAUUUGCCUUACCUUGUACGUGUAUAUUAUUCGUUCAGAACAUAUAAUUAAACAGAAAUGUUACAAACAUAAAGUUAAUCUAAUAUUUGACACAAGUCACUUGACUCUUUUAGACUAAACAAACCACUUAGAGAUCAUCUAUCUAUUUAUAUAGAUAGUUGUUUACAUAUGAGAGAUGUUCAGAAAUACUAUGUACAAUAUGCAUGGGCUUUUCUCAUAAAAUUGAUAAGAAUCUUCUUUGGAUCACGUUACUCGCACAGUUCUAGUUUAACAAAUGUAAAUAUAACAUGUAUAAAGGAAAACCAAAUAUAUUAUUUAUUAAAGAACACA